CUCACUCCCCGCCCCUUAAAGGGCCCGUGUCCGCCUUCCGGACCCGGGGCGUGGGGAGGGGCCAGAGCCGUGCCUCAGUUUCCCAGCUGGUGCCGGUGCCAUCCUUCCCAUGGAGGCAGCGGGGACAUACACAUGUGUGUGUGUGUGUGUAUGUGCCCCAGAGGGAAGGAACAGACCAGGGCAAUUUCGAGUGAUCCUCCUCUGUCAUCCAGUCUCAGCGUCCGGCAGCCAGAGGCCUAGGGAGACCCGGAGCAGGGGGCUGCAUCCCGGACAUCCUGGCUAAUAGCCAUUGAGGCACCUGGCCUGCAGGAACAUUCGG